rnacentral:rRNA from 1 species
UCGAGCGGGAUCCAUCCAGUAGCAAUACUGGUGAAGAUCUAGCGGCGAACGGGUGAGUAACACGUGAGAAACCUGCCCCGGACUCUGGGAUAACACGAGGAAACUCGUGCUAAUACCGGAUACCUUCUUUUGGUCGCAUGGCCAGCUGAAGAAAGAUUUAUCGGUUUGGGAGGGUCUCGCGGCCUAUCAGCUAGUUGGCGGGGUAACGGCCCACCAAGGCAUCGACGGGUAGCUGGUCUGAGAGGACGAUCAGCCACACUGGGACUGAGACACGGCCCAGACUCCUACGGGAGGCAGCAGUGGGGAAUCUUGCGCAAUGGGCGAAAGCCUGACGCAGCAACGCCGCGUGCGGGAUGAAGGCCUUCGGGUUGUAAACCGCUUUCAGCAGGGAAGAAAUUGACGGUACCUGCAGAAGAAGCCCCGGCCAACUACGUGCCAGCAGCCGCGGUAACACGUAGGGGGCGAGCGUUGUCCGGAUUUAUUGGGCGUAAAGAGCUCGUAGGCGGUUCGGUAAGUCGGGUGUGAAACCUCCAGGCUCAACCUGGAGACGCCACCUGAUACUGCUGUGACUAGAGUCCGGUAGGGGAGUGUGGAACUCCUGGUGUAGCGGUGAAAUGCGCAGAUAUCAGGAAGAACACCAGCGGCGAAGGCGGCACUCUGGGCCGGUACUGACGCUGAGGAGCGAAAGCGUGGGUAGCAAACAGGAUUAGAUACCCUGGUAGU